rnacentral:lncRNA from 1 species
AUACAUAUGAUGAAUCAUGGCACAGGAUCGAAUGUCACAUAUUUACUAUAUAAUAUGAGUUCUGUACAAAAUAAAUAAUUACAUUAUAAGAAAACAACGGUCCAGCAACCCAAAGUUGACUGGGAGACGACGGCCUAGACCUCUCACGAACUCGUCACAGCAUCCUCCAAGCGCCUCAUCCUGCGGUACAUGUUCUUGACCUGUGGGGGGGUGUGAGACAGCAAGAGUGAGCUCACAUACGUUCAUCGCUCAACAAGUUGUGGGGAAUAAUGUGCAUGAACUCGCCAAAGGUGGGAGCUCACGUGAAGUGUAAGGCUUACCAAAGAGGAUGGUUAGAGUUGAGCAUUGCUUUUAAAGUUGGUCAAAAUUUUAUUAGCAGUUACUAAGUAUAAGUAAAUACCAACCCAAUUAAGUAGUAGAACAAAAGUAACAACCUCACCUGCGAUGCAAUGCAUAUGACAAAUUGAGUUUAAGUUCCAUAAUUUAAUCAUGUGAGUGUCCGAGCUGCUCAUGACCGUGAGCACGGCUAGUAUACAAGUUUUACACUCUGCAGAGGUUGCGCAUCUUUACCCUGCUCAUGACCGUGAGCACGGCUAGUAUACCGGUUUUACACUUUGCAGAGGUUGCGCAUCUUUACCCACAAGUCAUGUUACCCAUCUGCCAAGAGACGGCCAAUCCCAUACACCUCUACCGAGGAGGCGAGGCAGGGUAAUACUACGAGGCAUUUACAAAGUUCCACUAACUUCAGAAAACCCGCUACAGUUUAUAGGAAGCUCCAAUGCAGGAAUCCCUCGCAUGACCGCCAUCGCAGCAAAAUCAUCCCAAGGGCCUCCCUACACUGACCACUCCCCUACUGCCCUUGCCCCUCUCGGGUAAGGUAGUCAUCCACUAGCUUUCCUAAUUAAUCAGCCAAGGGCGUCCAUAAACCCUUGUGGUAGCACUGUUUUUCCGGGUGGUUCUUCAUGUUCCCAUUAACAUAAUGAUCUUAUCAUGAACAGUAAAUAAUAAACAGAUAAUAAAAAGUGUAAUCAUGAAUAGUGUAUCUCCAUACCCAAAACCACAUAAAGCAAUAGCAUGUACUACCCAAAAAUUCAGUGGUAAACAAGGUAUAAAGAUAGUCAAAUCUAGGGUAACCUAUUGGGUCCCAUCAAAAUUAACCUAUGCAGAUCAUUAUGAUUAAUAAGAACAUGACUGGGUAAAAAGGAAGUGAUCAAGGGCACAACUUGCCUGGGACUUGAGAUUCCAGGUACCAGGAUGAUCUUCAGGUUCUCAUGACCUCACUGCUAAACGUAGAAAUACAUACAAACAUGGUAUAGACAAAAUUAACAUCACACCAACCAUAAGUACAAACUGAAUAAUAAUGAUCUACGCGAUGCUACGAGAUCGUAGAAACAAGAACCACUAAAUUCGGAGCUACGGUUAUUAAGUUAGGAAUUUCUGAAGUUAUUUAAUACCUAGAAUAGAGUUAUUCAUGUGAAUAAUUUUAAAUCAAGUUUCAUGGUUAGACAAAUGUACUAGGUAAUAAACAAUACUUAAACAAAAUUAAUCCCACUGGAAUGAAUCAAUUUGGAGCUAAAUUCAUCAAGUUAUGAAUUUUCUAAGCUUAUCAUAUUUAUUUUUAUCCUGAAAAUCAUUUUAGAUUUUUAUUUCCUGAAAUUCCCAGACUCUGGACGGCGACCACUAUUUUCGAAAACUCGGGGGCUAACACGUGAAAUCACCCAGACACAGAGAACUCCGCACAGGAUGGCGGGUUGAUUCCCCAUAACCCAAGGGGCUCUUAAGCAAAAAGCCAACGGCGAAGAGGUAAGGAACAACCAGAGCCGUUGGAUUAAAAGGAUACGGUCCAGAUUAGAUUUUUACAACUCUGAACCGGUACGCAGCCCUGGCCCUCGGAUUUGGAUCUAACGAUGUAAAUUUUAAGUACCAAGAUCUAAUCGUAGCCACUUGAUCCGAGAUCUACAGUUCUAAUUCCGCUGGGUGAAGGGGUACACUGGUCAGAUCGGGACCGUAAGCCAGCGAUCCUACGACUACAGACGUCGCACGGCCAAAUCCAAUCUAGGCCGCCCAAGACCCAUCAGACGGUCCGUACCCUUCUUCCCCCCUACGCCCUCCUAUUUCCUUUUCUCUCUCUCUCUCCAUGGCUGACCGGUGGCGCGUGAGCACGACCGUUGUAACGCCCCGAAUUUUUGCAGUUGAAUUUUUUUUCUUUUCUUUACUCGCCAAAAUUCGGGCGUUACCUUUUCUUUUUCUUUUCCCCCUCGCUAAACCUUGACCUUUUCCAAAGUUCUAGCGGGAUUCGGUUUGGAAUUCCCGUGUGAUGAAAAACCCUAAAUACUUUGUGUUGUUGAUGCACCAUGCCGAACCUUGCAUUUCUUUUGAUUGCUUUGAAAGUACAAAUGCAUUCAUGUAGAAAGAUCGGAUUUCGAAAAUGAGGAGAAGAUCUUUUCUUCCUUUUUUUCUCUCUCUUUCUCUCUCCUCUUUUUCUCUCUCUCCCGCGCCGUGGGCCGACCCCGGCCGGCCCAGCCGCCCCUGGCGCCCCCUCUUGGGCCCAAAAAGGCCCAACCGCCCCCCCACCUCCCUCUUUUUUUCCCAAACCCUCUCCCUCUCCCUCUCAUUUUUUUCCCUCUCUCAUUCUCUCCCUAGCCGCCGCCCCUACCCGCCCCCUGCCCUAGCGCCGCCCCCUGCCCUAAGCCGCCGCCGCCGCCCCUCGCCGUCGCUCCCCAACGCCGGUGAGCCCCCCCCUCCUCCCUCUCUCCCUCCUCCCUCCCUCUCCCCUCCCCCUCCUCUCUCCUCGGCCACCGCCCCAGUCGCGCCCCCUGGCCGCGCGCCGCCCGGCCGCCUGGCUCGGCCGCCCGCUUGUCUGCCUGGCCGCGUGCCCGCCUGGCCCCGGCCGCGCUUGGCCCCUGGCCGCGCCCUGGCCUUUGGCCGCGCGCGCCCUGGCCGCGCCCCCUGGCCGCUCGGCCGGCUCAGCCGCCCCGGCUCGGCCGCCCCUGCGCGCCCUGCCCCCGGCCGGUUCAACCGCCCCUAGGGCCGGUUCAACCGCCCCCCCCCCCCCUCUGUUUUUUUUUAUUUUUUUAUUUAAUUUUAUUUACUUUCUGUGAUCAUAGUUAUUUUAUUUUAGGUAGGGUAAUCAUUGUUAAUGUUAUUGAAAUAGGAAGUUUAAUUUAAAAUUCCGUUAUGCUAGUUGAUUCAUGUAGUUAAUUGUUUAUCUCGUGCAAUGUUGAUCAACUUAAAAUGAAUAGGUUUCCACUAGUGCAUAUAACAAGAAUUCUUUUGUUAGGAACCCAUUGAAACUAGAGUGCAUAAUUUAACUAAUCAUUAGUGCAUAAACUUUAACCCCCUGCGAGGCCCUUUCCCGUUUCUUUCUAACCGUAACAAAUGCGAUAUCGAAUGUCAUACUUGAUGCAUAUUCGCUUUGUUUGUUCCCUUGUAUGGUGUACUGUUCUUUUGUAUUAAAUGUGGAUGGAUGUAUGUAUGUUUGCAAUCGCAUAGAGAACGAUCCGGUCGAAGAGCCCGAGGAAUUCGCAGGAGAAGCCCCUGAGCAGCAGUCGGUUGGUGGAGGCAAGUGUCCUUUGACCUAUCUCUGUCCUAUUCAUUAUUUAAUUCACCUCCCGCUUACACAUUUAUGCCUAAGGAUUGACUAGCUUUUGUUAUCCAUGUCCUUGUUUACCUAUCUGGGUUGGAUUAUUACUGUUUAGCUUUAUGCUAUUGCUCAACCUCUAAUCAAUGAACAUGAUGAGAUUAUCUAUGAUACGCUGUUUUCCCUUCUUUUAUUAUGAUGUUGUACUUGUGGUCUUCAAGGGGGCUCGAGCGGUUUCUCGAGUGCCUCUCCGUAAGGACCUGUUCUAUGGAUGACCGCCCGGGAAAACAGUGCAACCAUGAGGGUGGAAUGGGGUGCCCUUAGCUGAAUAAUUAGAGGAUCCGGGGUGUAGUUCACUUAGCCGUCGUGCCGUCAAUGGGGCUCGGUGUAUGCGGCUCGCUCUGCCAAGUUUGGGUUCGCCCCUUGGGGAGGAGUGCGGUGCAUUUAGGAAACCUAACGGGUGGCUACAGCCCCGGGGAAUCUUUGUAAAGGCUUCGUAGUGAAUCCCUGGCUAUUCACCUCGGGAGUGAAUAAGGGUCUUGCAAGCCCGGGCCAGAGAGGGAAUCACGGCUUGUGGGUAAAGUGCACAACCUCUGCAGAGUGUUUGAAAAACUGAUAUAUCAGCCGUGCUCACGGUUAUGAGCGGCCAAGGGAGCUCCAGUGAUUAGUGGUACUUGAUCAGAGAUGUUCGGAUUACAGGUGGUGAUGAGAAUGAUGGUUUUGAUUAUGAUUAUGAUGCUGGUAAGUGGUACUCUUUCCGUUUGGAAAGGAGUACGUUUGGGUUAAUAACUUGGGUUAAUGCUAAAACUUGGCUUUCUACUAGUAAGUAAUAAUCUGACCAACUAAAAGCAACUGCUUGACUUAUCCCCACAUACAGCUAGUCCACUACAGCCAAACAGGAUACUUGCUGAGUAUGUUGAUGUGUACUCACCCUUGCUCUACACACCAACCCCCCCCCAUCCCCAGGUUGUCAGCAUUGCAACCACUGCUCAGGCGAAGAUGAAGCUGUGGAAGGAGACUUCCAGGAGUUCCAAGAUUACGACGAGUUCUAGGUGUGGGUUAGCGGCAACCCCCAGUCGGCUGCCUGUGAAGGCCGCGUUUAUCUACGUUUCUUUUCCGCACUUUGAUUUAUUGUAAGGACUAUAUGGACGUCUCAGACGUAUGAUGUAAUCAACUAUUUCCCUUUUUAAUACUAUUUUGAGCACUGUGUGAUGAUGUCCAUAUUAUGUAACUGCUGUGUACGUGAAUAACUGAUCCUGGCACGUACAUGGUUCGCAUUCGGUUUGCCUUCUAAAACCGGGUGUGACAUAAGUGGUAUCAAAGCCGUGCUGACUGUAGGACCGCUAACCUAGAGUAGAAUGGUCGUUCUAAGGACUAUAGACCUCUGUCUCUGCCUUGACUUUGAUAUCCCUUCAAAAGUUGGUCAUACCGACCAAACCUAUGUUCUACUAUAUACUAUACCUUGCUGAAAAUCAUGUUUUAUUCUAAUCCUUCAUUUACUUAUGAUUCAUUAUUUGCUGGUCAUAUUAAUUCUGUUCUCACCCUUUUGCUUGCGAUGUCUUUUGUAGAUGGCUCGACUUAGACACACUGCACGAAAGUCAGUCAUCCCCUUCUUACCCUCCCGCCUUGCUGAGCGUCCGCUUCGCCGUCCCGUGGCCGGACAGUCCAGCCACUUGGAGAGACUACACCACCGCCUGCGUGAGGAGCAGGAACGUCGACGACAGGAGCAGCAGAGCUCUUCCUUCUCGCUCCACCAGGAGAUAGAGUCUGUGAGGAGCUGCUCCCCUGUGCUUCCUCUGGAGCCGCCCCCUGCACCACCACUGGGCGCCCCAGCUUCUGGAGUAGCUGCUGGAGGAGACCCAGACGACGGAGGUGGCGACGACAGCUCGAGCCACGACACCGACUUCUCUGCUAACCCUGAGCCGGAAGGAUGGGUUGCUCGACCCAUCACUCGCGACGCUGCUCGCGGGUGUCACUUCCAUGAUGCGCUCGACACCCUGCUACGUCGGGCAUUUGACCGGCAUACUUGGUCCGUCGAGUAUCGCUGUGUGGUCUACCAGCAUAGUCGCGGGGUCUACCCGGACCGCUGGGAGGCAACCUGCUUGGUGCGCUGCCCGGAGAACAGUCUCCAGGGUGCGGAGGCCUGUUCAGAGCACUAUUCUAUCUCUGAACGGGACUCAGCUGAGGCAGCCAUGCAAGAUGCUGCACGGCGUGCGCUUUCGCACUACUGCUCGGUUUUCGGUGGGGCAGCUGACGGUCUUGACCUGAAGUAUUACCCCCGCCGUCCAUCUGGCAGCACAGGAGGCGUGAUUGUCUCACCUGUCGGUGAGGGCAAUCCUAGGUUGAGCAGCACAGUCAACCUAGCCGCCGUGCUAAACACGGAGCUGGACCAUGCAUUAGAUGAGCUGAGUAGGGCUCGUGCUGAGAUCGCCCUGCGGCGGGCUGAGCGCGCGGAACGUCGUCAUCUGGAUGGUGGUUCCCCCGCUCCCGUCGGGACUCAGCACCCGUACCGCUCACCUCAGCGUGGAGACCAGUCUUAUGGCAAUCCCGACUGCAAGACCAAGAUAACUCUAGAACCAUAGCUCGUUAGAGUUGGAUCUUGUAAUUAAUACGAAAUAUAUAUACAUAGAAGCUUCAGUCUUAGCGUUAGUCUCAGUCUUAGUUAGUCUUAGUUAGACAGGGUAGUUUGCUAUAUCCUGUGCAUCUAUGUUUGUCAUGAUGAACUAUGUUUGAUUUGGAUCUUUGUAAUGACUGUCACCAGAGUGUGGGUAUCCCCUGCAUUUUGGUUUACCUAUUAUGUUAAUGGAGUUAGUUAUAUAGUUGGGAAACCCCCUUUUAUUCCACUUUCCUCUUUAUCUGAGAAGCUGUGUGGUCUGUGUUGGAGAUCAGUGAAGAUGCUCAUCUGUUCAGUGCUGUUGAAGAAUUCUAUUCUCUUUUCUUAUGCUGCAAGAUUUGCCAGAUCAGUUCUGAUGUGUGGUUGCAUUCUGCAGAUGUCAGAGAACAGGCGCAGAGGAGGAAGGCGUGCUCAGCAGGAGCGAGCCGCUCAACAGGAGGAGGUGCCCCAGCAGCAGCACCUGCCGCCCCCGCCCCCGAUGUCCAUCGAGCAGAUGUUUCUGAUGCAGACUCAGGCAGUUCAAGCCAUCGGUCAGACUUUGGCCGCCAUUCAGCAGCAGCAGCAGCAGGCUCCACCUCAGCCUCAGAUGCCUCAGAUGCCCAGAGACAAGCGUGCUGAAUUCAUGAGAGGUCAUCCACCAACGUUCGCUCACUCUUCUGACCCCAUGGAUGCUGAAGAUUGGCUGCGCACUGUGGAGCGGGAGUUGCAUACCGCUCAGUGCGAUGACAGGGAGAAAGUCCUGUAUGGUCCCCGUCUGUUGAGAGGAGCAGCCCAAUCAUGGUGGGAGUCUUACCUCGCCACCCAUGCCCAUCCUGACGCCAUCACCUGGGAAGAGUUCAGAGGUAGCUUUCGUCAGUACCAUGUUCCUGCAGGUCUGAUGACAGUGAACAAGGAGGAGUUCCUGGCUCUCAAGCAAGGGCCAUUGUCUGUCAGUGAGUACCGGGACAGGUUUCUGCAAUUGUCUCGCUAUGCACCUGAAGAUGUCAACACUGACGCCAAGCGACAGUACCGUUUCCUGAGAGGCUUGGUCGACCCUCUGCAGUAUCAACUGAUGAAUCACACCUUCCCGACAUUCCAGCACCUGAUUGACAGAGCAAUCAUGACAGAGAGAAAGCGUAAGGAGAUGGAAGAUCGUAAGCGCAAGAUCAGUGGACCCCAGCCUGGAAGCAGCAAUCGUCCUCGUUUCUCAGGCAAUCAACCUCAGCAGUUCAGGCAGAACCAGCGUGCACCUCAGCAGCAUCAGCAGUUCCAAAGGCAGUACCCUCAGAACCAGUAUCAGAACCGUCAGAGCAAUCAGUCAGGAGGUCAGUUUCCGAGGCAGAAUCAGCAGGCACCUCGCCUUCCUGCCCCAGCAAACCAGCAGAACAGUCAGGCAGCACCAGCUCAGGUUGGAAACAGAGCAUGUUUCCACUGUGGAGAGCAAGGCCACUGGGUGAUGCAAUGUCCGAAGAAGGCAGCCCAGCAGCAGUCAGGCCCCAAUGCCCCAGCAAAGCAGAAUGUGCCUCAGCCUGGAGCAGACAAUCGCUCUCAGCCGCGCUACAAUCAUGGAAGACUGAACCACUUGGAGGCUGAAGCAGUUCAGGAGACCCCCGGCAUGAUAGUAGGUAUGUUCCCAGUCGACUCCCAUAUUGCAGAAGUGUUAUUUGAUACUGGAGCAACGCAUUCUUUCAUUGCUGCAUCAUGGGUAGAAGCACAUAAUCUUCCAAUUACUACCAUGUCAACCCCCAUUCAAAUUGACUCAGCCGGUGGUAGAAUUCGAGCCGAUAGCAUUUGUUUGAAUAUAAGUGUGGAAAUAAGGGGGAUAGCGUUUCCCGCCAACCUUAUAGUAAUGGGUACUCAGGGAAUAGAUGUCAUCCUAGGGAUGAAUUGGCUAGAUAAGUAUCAGGCAGUUAUCAGUUGUGAUAAGAGGACAAUCAAGUUGGUGUCCCCACUAGGAGAGGAAGUGGUGACUGAGUUAGUCCCACCUGAGCCGAAGAAAGGAAGUUGUUAUCAGAUGGCUGUCGAUAGCAGUGAAGCAGACCCAAUUGAAAGUAUCAAGGUUGUGUCCGAGUUCCCAGAUGUGUUUCCAAAGGAUUUACCGGGUAUGCCACCAGAGCGGAAAGUUGAGUUUGCUAUAGAGCUUCUUCCUGGAACCGCCCCUAUCUUUAAGAGAGCUUACAGAAUAUCUGGACCAGAGUUGGAUGAACUUAAGAAGCAGAUUGAUGAGCUGUCAGAGAAAGGUUACAUCCGGCCAAGCACCUCGCCUUGGGCCGCCCCUGUCCUAUUUGUGGAGAAGAAAGAUGGCACCAAGAGGAUGUGCAUCGAUUAUCGAGCUUUGAAUGAGGUCACGAUCAAGAACAAGUAUCCCUUGCCCAGAAUAGAAGAUCUGUUCGACCAGUUGAGAGGAGCCAGUGUGUUCUCCAAGAUUGAUCUGAGGUCAGGUUAUCAUCAGCUCAUAAUCCGACCUUCGGACAUUCCGAAGACGGCAUUCAUUUCCAAGUAUGGUUUGUAUGAGUUCACAGUGAUGUCUUUUGGUUUGACCAAUGCGCCAGCAUUCUUCAUGAACUUGAUGAACAGUGUAUUCAUGGAUUAUCUUGAUAAGUUUGUGGUGGUAUUCAUUGAUGAUAUUCUAGUUUAUUCUCAAAGUGAAGAAGAGCACGCAGAUCAUUUGAGGAUGGUGUUGCAGAGAUUGCGAGAGCACCAGUUGUAUGCAAAGUUGAGUAAGUGUGAGUUCUGGAUCAGUGAAGUCCUGUUUUUGGGUCACAUAAUCAACAAGGAAGGAUUGGCUGUGGAUCCGAAGAAAGUGGCAGACAUUCUGAACUGGAAAGCGCCAACAGAUGCUAGAGGAAUCAAGAGUUUCAUUGGAAUGGCCGGAUAUUAUCGGCGAUUCAUUGAAGGAUUUUCAAAGAUUGCGAAACCAAUGACGGCGUUGCUAGGCAACAAAGUUGAGUUCAAGUGGACCCAGAAAUGUCAAGAGGCCUUUCAAGCGCUGAAAGAGAAGUUGACUACAGCGCCUGUCCUAGUCUUGCCUGAUGUGCACAAGCCCUUCUCGGUGUAUUGCGAUGCUUGCUACACAGGUUUGGGAUGUGUGUUGAUGCAAGAGGGAAGAGUUGUGGCUUACUCGUCCCGACAGCUGAAGGUUCAUGAGAAGAAUUACCCAAUCCAUGAUCUAGAGUUGGCAGCAGUGGUUCACGCACUGAAGACCUGGAGGCACUAUCUGUAUGGACAGAAAUGCGAUGUUUACACAGACCACAAGAGUCUUAAGUACAUAUUCACUCAGUCAGAGUUGAACAUGAGGCAGCGAAGAUGGUUAGAGUUGAUCAAAGACUAUGAGUUGGAGAUUCAUUACCAUCCAGGCAAAGCAAACGUAGUGGCAGAUGCUUUGAGCAGAAAGAGUCAAGUCAAUCUGAUGGUCGCUCGUCCGAUGCCCUAUGAGUUGGCCAAAGAGUUUGACAGGUUGAGUCUCGGAUUUCUGAACAAUUCGCGAGGAGUCACAGUUGAGUUGGAACCUACCUUGGAGCGCGAAAUCAAAGAAGCGCAGAAGAAUGAUGAGAAAAUCAGUGAGAUCCGGCGACUGAUUCUGGAAGGCAAAGGCAAAGAUUUUCGAGAAGAUGCAGAAGGCGUGAUAUGGUUCAAAGAUCGCUUGUGUGUUCCCAAUGUCCAGUCCAUUCGGGAGCUGAUUCUUAAAAGAAGCUCAUGAGACAGCUUAUUCGAUUCACCCUGGCAGUGAGAAGAUGUAUCAGGAUCUGAAGAAGAAAUUCUGGUGGUACGGAAUGAAGAGGGAAAUCGCAGAGCAUGUGGCUAUGUGCGAUAGUUGCCGAAGAAUUAAGGCAGAACACCAGAGACCUGCUGGAUUGUUGCAACCGUUGCAGAUCCCUCAGUGGAAAUGGGAUGAAAUUGGUAUGGAUUUCAUAGUCGGAUUGCCUCGCACUCGAGCCGGCUACGAUUCCAUCUGGGUAGUAGUGGACCGUUUGACCAAGUCAGCCCACUUCAUACCUGUCAAGACCAACUACAACAGUGCAGUAUUGGCAGAAUUGUACAUGUCUCGGAUCGUUUGUCUUCAUGGUGUGCCAAAGAAGAUAGUGUCAGAUAGAGGAACGCAGUUCACCUCUCAUUUCUGGCAGCAGUUACAUGAAGCCUUGGGCACACAUCUGAAUUUCAGUUCAGCUUAUCACCCGCAGACAGAUGGCCAGACCGAAAGGACCAAUCAAAUUCUCGAAGAUAUGUUGAGAGCCUGUGCGUUGCAAGAUCAGUCCGGAUGGGACAAGCGAUUGCCUUAUGCAGAGUUUUCCUAUAACAACAGUUACCAGGCCAGUUUAAAGAUGUCACCGUUUCAAGCGCUUUAUGGAAGGAGUUGUAGAACUCCGUUGCAAUGGGAUCAGCCUGGAGAAAAGCAAGUGUUUGGGCCAGACAUUUUGCUUGAAGCCGAAGAGAACAUCAAGAUGGUCCGAGAGAAUCUGAAGAUAGCGCAAUCGAGGCAGCGAAGCUAUGCAGACACAAGAAGAAGAGAGCUGAGUUUCGAAGUCGGAGACUUUGUCUAUCUGAAAGUGUCACCGAUCAGAGGAGUCAGAAGAUUCGGAGUGAAAGGCAAGCUAGCGCCCCGCUACAUUGGUCCGUAUCAGAUUCUUGCAAGACGAGGAGAAGUGGCCUAUCAGCUCAGUUUGCCCGAGAAUUUGUCUGCUGUGCAUAAUGUCUUUCAUGUGUCUCAGUUGAAGAAGUGCUUGCGUGUGCCAGAAGAGCAGUUGCCAGUGGAAGGUCUGGAAGUCCAGGAGGACUUGACCUACGUUGAGAAGCCAGUGCAAAUCCUUGAGAUUGCAGACAGAGUCACCCGAAGGAAGACCAUCAGAAUGUGCAAAGUCAGAUGGAAUCACCACUCUGAGGAAGAAGCAACCUGGGAGCGUGAAGAUGAUUUGAUGGCCAAGUACCCAGAGCUCUUUGCUAGCCAGCCCUGAAUCUCGAGGGCGAGAUUCUUUUAAGGGGGAUAGGUUUGUAACGCCCCGAAUUUUUGCAGUUGAAUUUUUUUUCUUUUCUUUACUCGCCAAAAUUCGGGCGUUACCUUUUCUUUUUCUUUUCCCCCUCGCUAAACCUUGACCUUUUCCAAAGUUCUAGCGGGAUUCGGUUUGGAAUUCCCGUGUGAUGAAAAACCCUAAAUACUUUGUGUUGUUGAUGCACCAUGCCGAACCUUGCAUUUCUUUUGAUUGCUUUGAAAGUACAAAUGCAUUCAUGUAGAAAGAUCGGAUUUCGAAAAUGAGGAGAAGAUAUUUUCUUCCUUUUUUUUCUCUCUCUUUCUCUCUCCUCUUUUUCUCUCUCUCCCGCGCCGUGGGCCGACCCCGGCCGGCCCAGCCGCCCCUGGCGCCCCCUCUUGGGCCCAAAAAGGCCCAACCGCCCCCCCCACCUCCCUCUUUUUUUCCCAAACCCUCUCCCUCUCCCUCUCAUUUUUUUCCCUCUCUCAUUCUCUCCCUAGCCGCCGCCCCUACCCGCCCCCUGCCCUAGCGCCGCCCCCUGCCCUAAGCCGCCGCCGCCCCUGCCGGCCGCCCCUCGCCGUCGCUCCCCAACGCCGGUGAGCCCCCCCCUCCUCCCUCUCUCCCUCCUCCCUCCCUCUCCCCUCCCCCUCCUCUCUCCUCGGCCACCGCCCCAGCCGCGCCCCCUGGCCGCGCGCCGCCCGGCCGCCUGGCUCGGCCGCCCGCUUGGCCGCCUGGCCGCGUGCCCGCCUGGCCGCGUGCCCGCCUGGCCCCGGCCGCGCUUGGCCCCUGGCCGCGCCCCCUGGCCGCUCGGCCGGCUCAGCCGCCCCGGCUCGGCCGCCCCUGCGCGCCCUGCCCCCGGCCGGUUCAACCGCCCCUAGGGCCGGUUCAACCGCCCCCCCUCUGUUUUUUUUAUUUUUUUUAUUUUAUUUUAUUUACUUUCUGUGAUCAUAGUUAUUUUAUUUUAGGUAGGCUAAUCAUUGUUAAUGUUAUUGAAAUAGGAAGUUUAAUUUAAAAUUCCGUUAUGCUAGUUGAUUCAUGUAGUUAAUUGUUUAUCUCGUGCAAUGUUGAUCAACUUAAAAUGAAUAGGUUUCCACUAGUGCAUAUAACAAGAAUUCUUUUGUUAGGAACCCAUUGAAACUAGAGUGCAUAAUUUAACUAAUCAUUAGUGCAUAAACUUUAACCCCCUGCGAGGCCCUUUCCCGUUUCUUUCUAACCGUAACAAAUGCGAUAUCGAAUGUCAUACUUGAUGCAUAUUCGCUUUGUUUGUUCCCUUGUAUGGUGUACUGUUCUUUUGUAUUAAAUGUGGAUGGAUGUAUGUAUGUUUGCAAUCGCAUAGAGAACGAUCCGGUCGAAGAGCCCGAGGAAUUCGCAGGAGAAGCCCCUGAGCAGCAGUCGGUUGGUGGAGGCAAGUGUCCUUUGACCUAUCUCUGUCCUAUUCAUUAUUUAAUUCACCUCCCGCUUACACAUUUAUGCCUAAGGAUUGACUAGCUUUUGUUAUCCAUGUCCUUGUUUACCUAUCUGGGUUGGAUUAUUACUGUUUAGCUUUAUGCUAUUGCUCAACCUCUAAUCAAUGAACAUGAUGAGAUUAUCUAUGAUACGCUGUUUUCCCUUCUUUUAUUAUGAUGUUGUACUUGUGGUCUUCAAGGGGGCUCGAGCGGUUUCUCGAGUGCCUCUCCGUAAGGACCUGUUCUAUGGAUGACCGCCCGGGAAAACAGUGCAACCAUGAGGGUGGAAUGGGGUGCCCUUAGCUGAAUAAUUAGAGGAUCCGGGGUGUAGUUCACUUAGCCGUUGUGCCGUCAAUGGGGCUCGGUGUAUGCGGCUCGCUCUGCCAAGUUUGGGUUCGCCCCUUGGGGAGGAGUGCGGUGCAUUUAGGAAACCUAACGGGUGGCUACAGCCCCGGGGAAUCUUUGUAAAGGCUUCGUAGUGAAUCCCUGGCUAUUCACCUCGGGAGUGAAUAAGGGUCUUGCAAGCCCGGGCCAGAGAGGGAAUCACGGCUUGUGGGUAAAGUGCACAACCUCUGCAGAGUGUUUGAAAAACUGAUAUAUCAGCCGUGCUCACGGUUAUGAGCGGCCAAGGGAGCUCCAGUGAUUAGUGGUACUUGAUCAGAGAUGUUCGGAUUACAGGUGGUGAUGAGAAUGAUGGUUUUGAUUAUGAUUAUGAUGCUGGUAAGUGGUACUCUUUCCGUUUGGAAAGGAGUACGUUUGGGUUAAUAACUUGGGUUAAUGCUAAAACUUGGCUUUCUACUAGUAAGUAAUAAUCUGACCAACUAAAAGCAACUGCUUGACUUAUCCCCACAUACAGCUAGUCCACUACAGCCAAACAGGAUACUUGCUGAGUAUGUUGAUGUGUACUCACCCUUACUCUACACACCAACCCCCUCCAUCCCCAGGUUGUCAGCAUUGCAACCACUGCUCAGGCGAAGAUGAAGCUGUGGAAGGAGACUUCCAGGAGUUCCAAGAUUACGACGAGUUCUAGGUGUGGGUUAGCGGCAACCCCCAGUCGGCUGCCUGUGAAGGCCGCGUUUAUCUACGUUUCUUUUCCGCACUUUGAUUUAUUGUAAGGACUAUAUGGACGUCUCAGACGUAUGAUGUAAUCAACUAUUUCCCUUUUUAAUACUAUUUUGAGCACUGUGUGAUGAUGUCCAUAUUAUGUAACUGCUGUGUACGUGAAUAACUGAUCCUGGCACGUACAUGGUUCGCAUUCGGUUUGCCUUCUAAAACCGGGUGUGACAACCGUGGCGGAGGCCAUGGCCAGCGGCUCCCAACAUGGCCCCAAGGCUCCCCCCGAGGGCAUAUAAGCCCUAAACCUAUGCUCCCGCACACCUGCUUCAUAUCCGCCCCUGCGCGAUGCAGUCUGCUGUCCAAGUACCCGGCCGCGGCGAGUGAGAGCUUCGCGGCACGCUAUAACUUCGGUGAGCGAUUCCUAACGAACCGCACACCCAACCUGAGCUAAAUUUGGCGGCUCAUGAUCAGAGGAAUAAGGCAAGCGCGAUAGAGGAAUCCUUACCGUAUUUUGAGGUGGCGGCUCCGCGGCUACAGAGCAGCACCGGUGAGAAAUUCCCAUUCGCCCAUGGCGCCCUGAGCUCUGAUUCUACUUCGAUUACCAUCCCCACAUGCUGACGAAUCGAUCAAGACACAUCCGAGGACCCCGGGCGACCCCCAGCUGUGAGGCAUCGGUGGCGGCCAUCUCCUGCUUCUCUCUGCGC